rnacentral:ncRNA from 2 species
ACACCAUCCAGAGCGGCCGAGAGACCUGGCUCGUCGACGCCGCAGCAACCCCCCUUCCUCCGGGGAGGGUGUGGGUGCUUCAGCCGGGACCGAUGGAGU